rnacentral:lncRNA from 1 species
AAGAAAGUCACUAUGUGCAGUUAUGGCCCAGUUCCUUGAGGUUGGAGUAUCUGAUUUUUCUGCACAGAGUAUGAAUGAUGGAUAACAGAACCAGAGACUGGGAACAUGGAGGCCAAGGGGGAACUCCUCGGGAGCUGCAACUGACACACAAAGGAAAUUUUAAGCAAGGCAGUGGAAAUGAGCAAGGCAAUUUACUUCUAUAGAAGGGUGCGCCCUCACAGAUGGAGCAAUGAAUGUGAAUUCGAAUUGUUGCAGAAUGUCAAAGGAGAACUCUUCCUGCUGUCUCAGAAUUUCAGCUGGAGCUACAGAGAUCAAAGAGAGGUUGUUAAAUACCCACUAAUUUGAAAGCGAGUUGACAGGCCAGCUGUGCAGAACAUGCUAAGGGGUAACCCCAAAAGACAGAUAAGCCUUUGUCUAUGACGUGCCUCAAGCCAAUACAAGGAGAAAAAAGAAGAGCAAUAAAGGAAAGACCAUGAGGAUGGGUUUCUGUGAGAAGAGCUGUAGAUUUUUCCUUUCUUCUCCAUACCUUGAGCCAAGUUGGGAGGUUGUAAAAAUCCUCUGACAGAGCUUGGGUGUGCUUCCUGCCAGGAGGAAGACUAACCUGGAACAAGCGGGUGGGGAGAGACCUUCAGAGAAUUUGGACUCCCUACAGUCGGGGGCACAGGGUUUUGUGUUGACUUGCACUUGUAGAAGUCCGAUGCCAGCCGGGCGCGGUGGCUCACGCCUGUAAUCCUAGCACUUUGGGAGGCUGAGGCGGGUGGAUCACGAGGUCAGGAGAUCGAGACCAUUCUGGCUAACACUGUGAAACCCCGUCUCUACUAAAAAAAAAAUGCAAAUUAGCCAGGUGUGGUGGCGGCGCCUGUAGUCCCAGUUACUCGGGAGGCUGAGGCAGGAGAAUGGCGUGAACCCGGGAAGCGGAGCUUGUAGUGAGCCGAGAUUGCACCACUGCACUCCAGCCUGGGCGACAGAGCGAGACUCUGUCAAAAAAAAAAAAAGAAAAAAGAAAAAAAAGAAAGAAAGAAGGAAAGAAAAAAUUCCGAUGCC